rnacentral:rRNA from 1 species
AUUGAACGCUGGCGGCAUGCUUUACACAUGCAAGUCGGACGGCAGCACAGAGAAGCUUGCUUCUUGGGUGGCGAGUGGCGAACGGGUGAGUAACAUAUCGGAACGUACCGAGCAGUGGGGGAUAUCUAAUCGAAAGAUUAGCUAAUACCGCAUAUCUUCUGAGGAAGAAAGCAGGGGACCAUUUGGCCUUGCGCUGUUUGAGCGGCCGAUAUCUGAUUAGCUAGUUGGUGGGGUAAAGGCCUACCAAGGCGACGAUCAGUAGCGGGUCUGAGAGGAUGAUCCGCCACACUGGGACUGAGACACGGCCCAGACUCCUACGGGAGGCAGCAGUGGGGAAUUUUGGACAAUGGGCGCAAGCCUGAUCCAGCCAUGCCGCGUGUCUGAAGAAGGCCUUCGGGUUGUAAAGGACUUUUGUCAGGGAAGAAAAGGGCGGGGUUAAUACCCCUGUCUGAUGACGGUACCUGAAGAAUAAGCACCGGCUAACUACGUG